CGGUAAGAAAGGGGGUACAAUCCAUAUUGAUACAACAAGACCCAAAAUCGAGGUCCAGGUAGGGAUUCUGAUUGACCCCUCUGCUAGGAUUCGGGGUUCAACUGUGAGUUGACAUUGGUGCAAGCAGCUCAGUAAGGUGUGAAUUCACAGGGCGUUAUCCCAUGGUUGAGAAUUUUUCAAGUCCUAGGUCUCAGUUUCUCUCUAAUAAUCCAAUUGGUGGACAUGACAUAAGUUCCUUUCUUUUCUUUGUAUUGGCUUCAUCCUGUUGUUAUAAAUGACAAAUUAGAGUUCUUGAGCUAGUUACUCAUAGACAAAACUUGGUUGGCUCACCAGUACAGUGCAGUUCUCCUAAUAUUAUAACAAUAUACGAAAUGGUUCUGCCCAUUCACUUC